UACGGAGAUUGAACAAAAAAU
ensembl:piRNA 21ur-5329 ncRNA